GAGAAGCUAGUCGGGUGAUGGGAUGAGUGAGAAUGACAAGUUGCGUCUGAUUGUCCUGGAGACCUGGCUGAGAACUCUUUGUUUUCAGUGAGAGUCAGUUUCCAUAGAGAACUGCAUGGUAGUCACCAAGAACCGAGGGGGCCCAGGAAUGCCCCAGCAGUGGUCCCCUGGUGUGUCCAUGGGAUGAGCUGACUGGCCCACCUAGUGGGAGCCUGUGCACCACGGUUCGUGUGGCCCAGGGGAGGAGGUUUUGCCUUUCCUGGACCCCACUUUAUG
rnacentral:lncRNA from 1 species